rnacentral:lncRNA from 1 species
UUACUUCUGUAGAAUUAUUGCAUUUGAGCUCCCCUCCCCUUCCUAAACCAAGCUAUAAAAGUAAAUCAAGCCCCUUCCUCGGGGCCGAGAGAAUUUUGAGCGUUAGCUGUCUCUUUGGCCACCGGCUUAAAUAAAGGACUCUUAAUUCGUCUCAAAGUGUGGCGUUUUCUCUAACUCGCUCGGGUAUAACAGUAGGGCAUGACUCUUCAGACCCCUUAGAUAGGAAUUUGCACAAGCUGAAAAGAUCAGAGCUUAGCCCACACAAAGUAGAUGAAUAGGAGAAAAGGCAUACUAAUUUAUUAACAUGUCCAUGAGAGAGAAUGACAGAGGGAGCACUCCAACCCCACAAAGAGCUGUAGCAGUUCAUAUACCAUCUUGAGGUUACAGAAAGAUUUGGGGCUUGGAUCCUGGCAAAACAGGCUAUGGGAAAGGGAGAAGAGGAGGCCUGGCUGGCAAAGGUGGUCUUGUUAUGUAGAUGAAACCUCACAGAUAGCAGUCCUCGGAGGAAAAAGAUGGUAAAUGUUUCUUUCAGAGUUUUAGGGUGUCAGAAUCUCAGUUCCUCUUUCCUAGAUCUGGACAAGGGAGGGCCUGGGAGAAAACCAGGCUGCAGCAAUGCAGAUUUUCUACAGAUGCAAAUCUCCCCCACAAAAGACCGCUUUUGCCGGGCGCGGUGGCUCAAGCCUAUCUGUAAUCCCAGCACUUUGAGAGGCCGAGGUGGGCGGAUCACCUGGGGUUAGGAGUUCAAGACCAGCCUGGUCAACACGGGGAAACUCCAUCUCUACC